rnacentral:tRNA from 1 species
UUCAGAAUAGCUUAACACUAAAGCAUUGAUUUUGUAAUUCAACGAUAAUUUUUUUCUGAAA